rnacentral:rRNA from 1 species
UACCGCAUAUGGUCUUCGGAAUUAAAGCUUCGGCGGUUUGGGAAGAGCCCGCGUAAGAUUAGCUAGUUGGUGAGGUAAAGGCUCACCAAGGCGACGAUCUUUAACUGGUUUGAGAGGAUGAUCAGUCACACUGGAACUGAGACACGGUCCAGACUCCUACGGGAGGCAGCAGUUAGGAAUUUUCCACAAUGGGCGAAAGCCUGAUGGAGCAAUGCCGCGUGCAGGAUGAAGGCCUUAGGGUUGUAAACUGCUUUUAUACGUGAAGAAUAUGACGGUAACGUAUGAAUAAGGAUCGGCUAACUCCGUG